CCUACGGGAGGCAGCAGUGAGGAAUAUUGGUCAAUGGGCGCGAGCCUGAACCAGCCAAGUCGCGUGAAGGAUGACUGCCCUACGGGUUGUAAACUUCUUUUAUAAAGGAAUAAAGUCAGGCACGCGUGCCUUUUUGUAUGUACUUUAUGAAUAAGGAUCGGCUAACUCCGUGCCAGCAGCCGCGGUAAUACGGAGGAUCCGAGCGUUAUCCGGAUUUAUUGGGUUUAAAGGGUGCGUAGAUGGGUUGUUAAGUCAGCGGUGAAAGUUCGGGGCUCAACCGUAAAAUUGCAUUUGAUACUGGCAGCCUUGAGUAGAGGUGAGGUAUGCGGAAUGCGUGGUGUAGCGGUGAAAUGCUUAGAUAUCACGAAGAACUCCGAUUGCGAAGGCAGCAUACUAACCUGCCACUGACAUUGAUGCACGAAAGUGUGGGUAUCAAACAGGAUUAGAUACCCCUGUAGUC
rnacentral:rRNA from 1 species